GAUGCUAUGCUGCAGUCGAGCGACGCAUGCCCAGUUCGUAAGAACAGGGUAUGACGGAGCGGCGAACGGGUGAGUAACACGUGAGCAACCUGCCCCACAGACCGGGAUAGCCCAAGGAAACUUGGAUUAAUACCGGAUUCCCUCGAACAAUCGCAUGGUUGAUCGAGGAAAGGCCUUUGUGCUGUGGGAUGGGCUCGCGGCUUAUCAGCUAGUUGGUGGGGUAAAGGCCUGCCGAGGUAUCGACGAGUAGCUGGUCUGAGAGGACGAUCAGCCACACUGGAACUGAGACACGGUCCAGACUCCUACGGGAGGCAGCAGCAGGGAAUCUUGCGCAAUGGGCGAAAGCCUGACGCAGCAACGCCGCGUGGGGGAUGAAGGCCUUCGGGUUGUAAACCCCUUUCAGGAGGGAAGAAAUUGACGGUACCUCCAGAAGAAGGACCGGCCAACUACGUGCCAGCAGCCGCGGUAAUACGUAGGGUCCUAGCGUUAUCCGGAAUCAUUGGGCGUAAAGAGCUCGUAGGCGGUUCAGCAAGUCGGCUGUGAAAGUCCGAGGCUUAACCUCGGAAUUGCAGUCGAUACUGCUGUGACUCGAGUCCGGCAGAGGAGAAUGGAAUUCUCGGUGUAGCGGUGAAAUGCGCAGAUAUCGAGAGGAACACCAGUAGCGAAGGCGGUUCUCUGGGCCGGCACUGACGCUGAGGAGCGAAAGCGUGGGGAGCAAACAGGAUUAGAUACCCUGGUAGUCCACGCCGUAAACGUUGGAUACUAGGGUGUGGCGGUUGUACCAACGACUGCCGUGCCGAAGCUAACGCAUUAAGUAUCCCCGCCCUGGGGGAGUAUACGGCCCGCCAAGCGUA
rnacentral:rRNA from 1 species